rnacentral:rRNA from 1 species
AGCAGCCGCGGUAAUUCCAGCUCCAAUAGCGUAUAUUAAAGUUGUUGCAGUUAAAAAGCUCGUAGUUGAACUUCAGGCCUGGCUGGGCGGUCCGCCUCACGGCGUGUACUGUCUGGCUGGGUCUUACCUCUUGGUGAGCCGGCGUGGUCUUUAUUGGUUGCGUCGGGGAACCAGGACUUUUACCUUGAGAAAAUUAGAGUGUUCAAAGCUGGCCUACGCCUGAAUACAUUAGCAUGGAAUAAUGAAAUAGGACGUGCGGUUCUAUUUUGUUGGUUUCUAGAGUCGCCGUAAUGAUUAAUAGGGAUAGUUGGGGGCAUUGGUAUUGAGUCGCUA